AUGAACGCUGGCGGCGUGCCUAAUACAUGCAAGUCGAGCGAACAGAUGAGGAGCUUGCUCCUCUGACGUUAGCGGCGGACGGGUGAGUAACACGUGGAUAACCUACCUAUAAGACUGGGAUAACUUCGGGAAACCGGAGCUAAUACCGGAUAAUAUAUUGAACCGCAUGGUUCAAUAGUGAAAGACGGUUUUGCUGUCACUUAUAGAUGGAUCCGCGCCGCAUUAGCUAGUUGGUAAGGUAACGGCUUACCAAGGCAACGAUGCGUAGCCGACCUGAGAGGGUGAUCGGCCACACUGGAACUGAGACACGGUCCAGACUCCUACGGGAGGCAGCAGUAGGGAAUCUUCCGCAAUGGGCGAAAGCCUGACGGAGCAACGCCGCGUGAGUGAUGAAGGUCUUCGGAUCGUAAAACUCUGUUAUUAGGGAAGAACAAAUGUGUAAGUAACUAUGCACGUCUUGACGGUACCUAAUCAGAAAGCCGCGGCUAACUACGUG
rnacentral:rRNA from 1 species